rnacentral:misc_RNA from 1 species
UGAAGUCAUAGUAAAUAGUCAAUUAUCUACAUUAUGGAACAACAUGCACUUACAAAACAAGCAGAUAUAUAAAACAACAGACCCCAUCCGAGGAGGGUACUAAACUCCAGAUUAGGAGACCUUACAAGCACUGUAACAAAAACACAAACUAAAGAAAACUAAAAACAAGAACACAAACUAAGGAAAACGAAAAACACAAAUAAAGAAAGAGGUAGACGAGGAGGCUCGAUGGCCAAAAC